UUUUUAUAGGCAUGCAUUGGCUGCUUGACAUAUCCCUGGAAGAGGACAUCAACUAGCUAACACAGUCAAUGACAGAUGUCUCUUUGAAUUGAUAAAAUCAUAAUCAAAUGGAUAUAAUACAGAAGUUUCAAAGAUCUGUUCUGAUGUAGCUUGAAGAUUUUGUAAUGAAUGAUCCAGGAUCCAAAAGUUCUUCGCGGAGUUCAAUGACAGUUGCAAUGUGGUUGCUAAUUUAGUGACAGAUUAAGAAAGAAGUUCAAACAAGUAUUGUCAUGGGAAAACAUUAAAAAGGAAGAAAUUGGAGGUGGACAAAAAUCAGGAUGAAUAUACU